UACGUAGGUGGCAAGCGUUGUCCGGAAUUAUUGGGCGUAAAGCGCGCGCAGGCGGUCCUUUAAGUCUGAUGUGAAAGCCCACGGCUCAACCGUGGAGGGUCAUUGGAAACUGGGGGACUUGAGUACAGAAGAGAAGAGUGGAAUUCCACGUGUAGCGGUGAAAUGCGUAGAGAUGUGGAGGAACACCAGUGGCGAAGGCGACUCGUUGGUCUGUAACUGACGCUGAGGCGCGAAAGCGUGGGGAGCAAACAGG
rnacentral:rRNA from 1 species